GCAAGAGUGCAUGAAACACUCUGUCUCAAUCUUAGUCACUUGCUUACCACUGGAGUUGUGAGUCAUAAUCAAAACACACUGACUCAGAGUAGUAAAGGAAAUGAUUCUCUAAGAGAAGGGGAGAAUGGACUCUGGGAAGAUAAAUACAGCAGAUGUUUACCAUAGGAACAGAAGACCAGGGGGGAUUGUCUGUGCUAUUUUCUGCAUCCAUAAAAUACGAAAGGAUAUUCUAGCCAAAGGGGAUGGAGUGGAAGUUUACUCAUGUAUCAGUUCUUAUCCUGGGUAGAAGAUGUAUUGGGUACAACAUAAAGAACUAUUUGCAUCUCUGAAUUUGCUCAGCCUGCCAGAGAAACUGCUUAUUUCACAGAUGGAUGUUGAGGCUAUAGAUGCUUCCUUGAAAUGGAAGGAUUACUGCCUUAGUCAGGUUCCCUUGAAGAAUGUAUUUUGUUUGUAUUUUGAUGCCUAGACUUAAAAAGCAUGAGCAUGGGCUAUCCUUAAUAUGAGGAUAUUAACUCUUCAUUGUUUCCAUUUGCAUUCAGUAUAGUGUAUUACGCAGAAACAUAGCAGUACC
rnacentral:lncRNA from 1 species